UACGGGGGGAGCAAGCGUUGUUCGGAUUUACUGGGCGUAAAGGGCGCGUAGGCGGUCAGUGCAAGUCAGUUGUGAAAUCUCCGGGCUUAACUCGGAAAGGUCAACUGAUACUGCUCGACUAGAGUGCGGAAGGGGCAACUGGAAUUCUUGGUGUAGCGGUGAAAUGCGCAGAUAUCGGGAGGAACACCGGUGGCGAAGGCGGUUCUCUGGGCCGUUACCUGACGCUGAGGAGCGAAAGCGUGGGGAGCGAACAGG
rnacentral:rRNA from 1 species